UGUCACUCCAGAGGUUGCGGUGCUCACUACAACGAUUAUUCAUUUAAGACGAUCUAAAAUUGACUAAUUUGAGGUUAAUCCUUCGGCGCCGUUCUAUAGACUUGAUCCAUUUGGUGAAACAGAGAAAACAUUGCUGAAAUUCAAUUGUAGAUGUUGGCAUUUCUUUUCUGUGGCACCGUUUCCCGAACUAACCAACGCCCGCCAGUGGUCACUCACCCGCUGUUGUAACCAGGAGGACCCGGGUGCGACCAUACAUGUUAUUCCGCUGCGACACACCUGUAGUCACUCACGGGAUUGUGCCCAGGUCUUUCUUGUGAGUCGCAAACGAAGUGUUGCGAGUGUACGAGAGGAAUGAAAAAGCUGCUUCAAGUCACUUUCUCGUCUUAAGGGCCCACUAGAGACUUUGGAACUAGGGGUUAACAUCUGGAAUAAAAAUCAGAUUGAAUGAGAAAUCUGUAUAAUUGGUCCAUCCAUUAAAUUGGCCUAGUAAGCUGAAGUUCUGAUGGAUUUGGUAUUUGAAUUGUUUUCAUUAAUGUCAGGCUUGCUGGCUAGGAUACUGAAGAGAAUAUCUGGUGGCCAGAUUUGCCGAUUGUUGUGGCGUAGUGGAACAAUCCACUGUCCAAGCACUGUUGCCCAGGUGCAGAAACGUCUGGAAUCAGGAAUCACUUCAGACAAGGCACAUGAAAAUCACUGCCUUGUCUUCAGGUGUAGAAGUUGGACUGGUGAAGUUGUGUGGUUGUUGAAGUGCGUUUGAUGUCAGCUGGGGUCGUUACCGACUUCGCAACCAGAUACUGUGCUAUUUGCAAUCAGAAUCAGAAUGAUCAGUUUAGUUGAGUUUUACGGUGCAAAUUUAGCCACGGUUUGAUUUUGAAAGGGAUGAGGUAUUUCCACGCCAUUCGACCAGGCUUAAUCGAAAGUGAACAAUUCUAAGGCAUCAUGCCGAAGAUCUGUUGCCUUUCUCCACGUGAUCGCUGCCGUGUCAUGAAGAUGCUUCUUUGAGAGGUUCUCUACUAUAUUGCAAGACAAAG